GGUGGACGCCUGAGGCACUUCCCGGUAGGCAAAUAGGAGAUGAGGUAGAAAUUUCUCCCAUUGACCGUAGGACUCUGUGAACGCUGUGAGCAUUUGCUUAAGCAUGCCGUUGAAUCGUUCAGAGACCGUAAGUCUGGGGGUGGUAGGGGGAGCUAAAUAACGGUUUUACCCUGCAGCUCUGCCACAACUGUUGUUACAGUUGCCGUGAACUGGGUUCCCUGGUCUGAAAGUAUUUCCCGGGGGAACCCUACUCGGGAAAAGAUUAGAGUCUCUGCUACUGUCUCUGCCUCAACGUUGAAGAGCGCCACAGCCUCAUGGUACCUGGUGGCGUAGUCCACCACCGUGAGGAUGUAACGCUUACCGGAGGAGCUGGGUUUGCUGAGAGGCCCUAUCAGAUCUACUGCCACUCUGUAGAAUGGUUCUUCUAUUAUAGAUAGGGACCGUAUCUUGGCCUUAGGGUGAUCCCCCUUUUCCCUAUCCUUUGACGUGUCACGUGUCCUGCAGUAGGUCUGCAAAUCUUUGGAUAUCCCUGUCCAGAAGAAUGUCUGGGUAAGGCGGUCCUUAGUUUUCUUGAUACCCAGAUGGCCUGCUAGCGGGAUAUCAUGGCUGAGCUUUAGAAGCUCCGCCCUGUAUAUACGGGGUACGACUAACUGUCUUUUUAUAACUUGGGCUGCCCCCUUUCCCACUCCCCCGUGACCCUAUAUAGCAGACCCUGGUCCCAGUGGAAGUUCUCGUGGGCAUUACCUUCCUUAGAGAUACCUACUGCCUUCCUGUAACCUGCUAAGGUGGGAUCUGACCGCUGGGCUUGGCCAAAGUCUUGGGGAGUGCCCCAGGGUUAGGGCAUGCUAUGGGGAUUUCGGUUCCUACCUGUGGUUCCUCGGAGUGUGUCGGUCCAGCUCGGCGGGCUUGUGCCCUGGUAGUCAAGGGGCAGGUUCCAGCAGGAUCGGGGUGAAUCAGCUGCGAAGUUAGACACCCCAAGUCGUUCCCCAACAAAACUUUUGCAGGUAGUCCAGACAUAAUGCCCACCUCCAUCUGCUUGGCUCCGGUGCCCCAAUUUAACUGUACCCCGGCUGUGGGCAACUUGUGGAUGGCGCCUCCUGCCACUCUUAUGGCCACAAUCCUGUCGGUGUGCACCUUUGCAGGUACGGUGUGAGGCUGCACCAAAGUAAGGGUGGACCCAGAGUCUCAUAGCGCCUCCGCCUCUUUUCCAUCUAUGGUGACCCAUUGUCUGUGGUGCACCCGGUUGUCCCCCUCGGCUUGGGCUAGGUUCACCUCAUGUAGUACGGCCCAUUGCUCCGAAUCCAGGCUGUGCUCCUCCAGGGGUUCAUGUUGAUAGUGGUGAGCGGCGGCCCUCGGUGGUGGUGGUG